GCUCCUCCCCCGGUGCGGCUGCCCCGAGCCGCGCGUCCCCGCCUGCCCCGGGCCGUGCUCGGCAGAGAAAAAAACGGAGAAAAGCCCCAAAUAAUAAAAAAAAAAAACCAGCCCCCCCCAAAAAAGGAGCUUCCCGGCCUCGCCGCCGGUAAAUCCCGGUGGAUGCUCCUCAAAGUUGGCAGCUCGGGCGCGGUGCGCCGCCGCUGCGCGCCUGGCGGGCGGGCUUGCAGGGCAAAAACCGGGAAAAAAAAGGAGAAAAAAAGGGGGGAAAAAAAGUGAGAAAAGGGAAAAGAAUGGGGGAAAAGCGCGUGCGGCGCCCGGGACCCCCCCGCGGGAGGAGCGGGGGGAGCGCGGAGCCCCCCGGCUCGCUCGGGCCCGGCGGGCAGAGCUCCGCACCCGCGGAGCCCCGGCGGGGCGGGCGGAGGCGCGGCCCCGGGACCCCCGACCCGCUCCCGAGUUCCAAAAUGACCUUUCCCUGCAUCGUUUUGGAGGUAACCGAGCUGCGUAAUUAUAUUUGCACUUCCAGAAGACUGCAUCAGAGUCCCCUUAUUGGUUUGAAAUUCCAUUAAAUAUAUUGCAAGAGCUCCUAGGUUAAGCUUGAUUUAAAUUUGCAUACAUUUUCAUAUAUUUAGCAGAAAUAAAAGAAGGCUUGCAGCUACCAGAAAGUCAUUAAGGCAUUAGUUUCUCUGAGAAGACAGAUCUGAAGAAAAUUCAAGAAAAUGAGAAAAUAGAUCUAAAUAAGGUGGAGUUGAAUACCAUGGUUAACUGCAAGCAAUAUGUUCUGAAGAUGAUGGUGUUCAGACAAAUACCCAAUUUGAUUUUGAUAAAUUGGAUGCAAGACUUUGACCAGCAUGAGAAGAACAGCCAGGCAUUGUGGAAGCAGGCAGCAUCCCAGACCUGUGGAGGAGCUCAGCAGGAGGAGAACAAGUGGAGGCAAAUAUUCCCAAUGCCAUGUUGCUGCUGGUGGCUCAGGCAGUCUGAACAGGGGCCUGUAGUGGUCCAGCUCGUUGGAAACUUUUGUGCAGAAACCAGGAGGAUGCUACAACUGGAGCUAAUCCGAAAACAGCACCACCAGCAACAGCAGUUUGCUCUAGACAAGAAAAAAGGUGGAAGAGGUGGGACUAGGAGGGGUUUUCUCCUUCAAAAGAAGAAAUGUUGCUUUGCAGGCACAGCUAUGCUGAAAUGGAUUGAAAUGCAGCUUUCAUGCAGCCUGAUAACUGUUCCUCACUGGAAGAAGAACUUUGGAUAAAUGGAA